AGUGAACGCUGGCGGUAGGCCUAACACAUGCAAGUCGAACGGCAGCACAGUAAGAGCUUGCCCUUACGGGUGGCGAGUGGCGGACGGGUGAGGAAUACAUCGGAAUCUACUUUUUCGUGGGGGAUAACGUAGGGAAACUUACGCUAAUACCGCAUACGACCUACGGGUGAAAGCAGGGGAUCUUCGGACCUUGCGCGAUUGAAUGAGCCGACGUCGGAUUAGCUAGUUGGGGGGGUAAAGGCCCACCAAGGCGACGAUGCGUAGCCGAUCUGAGAGGAUGGUAGGCCAGACUGGAAUUGAGACAAGGUCCAGACUACUACGGGAGGAAGCAGACGGGAAUAUUCGGCAAUGGGCGAAAGCAUGACGGAGCAACGCCGAGUGAGUGAUGAAGGUCUUCGGAUCGUAAACCUCUGUUAUUAGGGAAGAACAAACGUGUAAGUAAAUGUGCACGUCUUGACGGUACCUAAUAAGAAAGCCACGGCUAACUACGUG
rnacentral:rRNA from 1 species